CGCGCAGACCGCCUUAUCGUCGUUCGCUUCGGCGGAGGGAGGAAAGUCCGGACACCACAGAGAAGCAUAGCGGGUAACACCCGUCGGUCUUAGUAAUAAGGCAAGGACAAGUGCAACAGAAAGUAUGUACAGGUAAUGCUGUAGUGAAACCAGGUAAACUCUAUGCGGUGAAAUACCAAGUAUAUCAGCAUUUAAGGGCUUCUCGUUCGUUGUUGAAGGGUAGGUAGCUCGAGCUUAUGAGUAAUUGUAAGCCUAGAUAAAUGAUAAGGCUCUGAUUUAUCAGGGACAGAAUCCGGCUUAUAGGUCUGCAUUUUUU
rnacentral:RNase_P_RNA from 1 species